CACGUAGGGGGCAAGCGUUGUCCGGAUUUAUUGGGCGUAAAGAGCGUGUAGGCGGCCAGGUAGGUCUGCUGUGAAAACUCGAGGCUCAACCUCGAGAUGUCGGCGGAAACCAUCUGGCUAGAGUCCGGAAGAGGAAAGUGGAAUUCCUGGUGUAGCGGUGAAAUGCGCAGAUAUCAGGAAGAACACCCGUGGCGAAGGCGGCUUUCUGGGACGGUACUGACGCUGAGACGCGAAAGCGUGGGGAGCGAACAGG
rnacentral:rRNA from 1 species